CAGGGUUAUGCCGAGCAACCUUUUCAGCUUCUCUCUGAAGCCCGGAGGGGCUCUGGCAGCCACGAUCAUCCACUGUGUGCACUCAUUGAACCAUGCUUUGGCAGACUCCUUUUCUCGCCUCGUCUACGUGGCGGGGGGGGGGAAAGCCCCUGGGCGGCCCUCCAAGGCCCCCAAUGGUCUGCCAGAGUUUUUACUUAAAUAUAGCCUGAUUGCCUGCCUGAAUAUUUUUGAUCGAAACAAAAAUA
rnacentral:misc_RNA from 1 species